rnacentral:rRNA from 1 species
CGUAGGGUGCAGGCGUUAAUCGGAAUUACUGGGCGUAAAGCGUGCGCAGGCGGUCUACUAAGACAGGUGUGAAAUCCCCGGGCUUAACCUGGGAACUGCGCUUGUAACUGGUAGGCUUGAGUGUGGCAGAGGGGGGUGGAAUUCCACGUGUAGCAGUGAAAUGCGUAGAGAUGUGGAGGAACACCGAUGGCGAAGGCAGCCCCCUGGGCUAACACUGACGCUCAUGCACGAAAGCGUGGGGAGCAAACAGGAUUAGAUACCCUGGUAGUCCACGCCCUAAACUAUGUCAACUGGUUGUCGGGGAAGCAAUUCCUUGGUAACGAAGCUAACGCGUGAAGUUGACCGCCUGGGAGUACGGCCGCAAGGUUA